rnacentral:rRNA from 1 species
GAUCCUGGCUCAGAUUGAACGCUGGCGGCAGGCUUAACACAUGCAAGUCGAACGGUAACAUAAAGAAGCUUGCUUCUUUGAUGACGAGUGGCGGACGGGUGAGUAAUGCUUGGGGAAUCUAAGCUUAUGGAGGGGGAUAACUACGGGAAACUGUAGCUAAUACCGCGUAAUAUCGAAAGAUUAAAGUGUGGGACCCUUCGGGCCACAUGCCAUAAGAUGAGCCCAAGUGGGAUUAGGUAGUUGGUGAGG